rnacentral:rRNA from 1 species
GGCAUUCAACGCCUAGAGGUGCGCGGGGAUUCAAACCUCGCAAUAUCCCAAGUAAAUGGAGACUUUGAUGCCAAAGAUCCAAAAAUGGCAGCUUACCGCAACGCCGUCCUAAAAAUGUCAGCUCGGUUCGAAGGACUCGAAUUCCACCAUGUAGCCCGGGAUAAUAACCAGGCAGCAGACGUGUUAGCACGCAUCGGCGCGAAAAGAGACGCCAUCCCUCCAAACAUCUUCCUGGAACGGCUCUUCAAGCCAUCCAUGUUAUGGGAAGAGGAGUCCGGAAAUAACAAUCCGGAGCCAGCUGCAUCACCUAACUCAGACCAUUCUGACACAAUCGGCGGCUCAGCCAACGAAAUAACACCUUCAGCUCACGAAAUAAUGGCAGUAAUUGCCCCGUGGACAGAACCAUUCCUAGCCUACUUAAUUCGGCAGGAACUUCCCGAAGACCAAAAUGAGGCCCGCUGCAUAGUUCGGCGAUCUAAAGCCUACAAGGUCCAUGAGGGAGAACUUUAUAAGAAAAGCACA